CCUUAUUUUGAUAUCCUAGGUCCACAGGGAUGAUCUGGAGCCUGGGAUUGUGGUUGCUGGCCAGAUGACGAGGACUUCAGUAGGCAGCUUUUCUCUGGGUUUCUCUCUCCAUGAUGUGAUGCCUGAGGUUGGAGGAGGAGUGAUACAGGUCAUAUAAUACUGUCCUGUCUGCCCUCGUCAAUGCAGUUUUCUUCUGACUUCUGUGCUACAUUCAGAAGGCGAAGUGUGAUUAUGCAGCUCUCAUAGAUAAAGGGAUUGAGAUCCACAGAAAUUAAGUGGUUUAUUUAAGAGCCCUCCUCUUAUUAGAGAUAACGUCAUGGGUUGUAAGUCUUUUGACAUGGAAG
rnacentral:lncRNA from 1 species